rnacentral:misc_RNA from 1 species
GAUGAAGAACGCAGCGAAAUGCGAUAAGUAAUGUGAAUUGCAGAAUUCAGAGAAUCAUCGAAUCUUUGAACGCACCUUGCGCUCCUUGGUAUUCUGAGGAGCAUGCCUGUUUGAGUGUCAUUUAAUUCUCAAACUUUACCUAGUUUGCAAAAACUAGAUCAGGUUUGGAGUCUGGAAGUUGCUGGCUUUUUUUUUAAGCUAGCUCUUCUAAAAUAUAUUAGCAGAAUUAUUGCUACUCAAUAUGGUAUGAUAAUUAUCUAUACCGUUGAAAGUAAGCUUUCUGAUUUUGCUUCUAAUUGUCUACCAAGACAACCUUGAUACCUUUGACCUCAAAUCAGGUAGGACUACCCGCUGAACUUAAGCAUAUCAAUAAGCGGAGGA